UACGGAGGAUGCAAGCGUUAUCCGGAAUUAUUGGGCGUAAAGCGUCCGCAGGUGGUUUAUCAAGUCUGCUGUCAAAGCGCGAGGCUUAACUUCGUAAAGGCAGUGGAAACUGAUAGGCUGGAGUGCGGUAGGGGCAGAGGGAAUUCCCAGUGUAGCGGUGAAAUGCGUAGAGAUCAGGAAGAACACCGGUGGCGAAAGCGCUCUGCUAGGCCGCAACUGACACUCAUGGACGAAAGCUAGGGGAGCGAAUGGG
rnacentral:rRNA from 1 species